GCCCGGUUAGCUCAAUCGGUAGAGCGUGAGACUCUUAAUUGGGCACACGUUCUGAUGGUCAUCUCAAGGUUGCGGGUUCGACCCCCGCAUCGGGCU